rnacentral:tRNA from 2 species
GGAGGGGCCGGCCUGGCUUCGGAACCACGACUGGAAAUCGUGGGCGCGGCGACGCGCCGAGGGUUCAAAUCCCUCUCCCUCCGCCA